CACGUAGGGGGCGAGCGUUGUUCGGAAUUACUGGGCGUAAAGGGCAUGUAGGCGGUUUGGUAAGCCUGACGUGAAAGGCUAUGGCUCAACCAUGGCAUGGCGUUGGGAACUGCUAGACUUGAAUCACGGAGAGGGAGCUGGAAUUCCAGGUGUAGGGGUGAAAUCUGUAGAUAUCUGGAAGAACACCAGUGGCGAAGGCGAGCUCCUGGCCGAUGAUUGACGCUGAGGUGCGAAAGUGUGGGGAUCAAACAGG
rnacentral:rRNA from 1 species